rnacentral:rRNA from 1 species
AUUUAAAAAUUUAUUUUAAAUAUUUUUAAAUAAAGUAUUUUUUAGUUUUAUUAUUAAUAAAGAAAAAAUUUAAUUAAUUAUAGUUUAUAGUAUAGUGAUAGAAAAUUUAAAUAUUUUGAAAAUAUAAAUAUUAAAAAGAAUAAUUAAUUUUUAGUACCUUGUGUAUCAGGGUUUAUUAAAAAUAUUUUUUAUAAUAAAAUUUCUCGAUUUUAAAAGAGUUAAGAAUUUAUAUUUUUUAAUGUUAAAUAAUUAUUAUAAAUAAGUUUUUAGUAAUGAAAUGUUAUUCGUUUUUAAAUAUAUCUAGUUUUUUAAGAAAUAAAUUUAAUUUAUUUACUAAUAAAAAUUAUUAUUAUUAAUAAUUAUAAUUUUGUUAGUAAGAAAUAUUUAAAGGGAUAAGCUUUUAAAUAAAUUUAUAUAAUAUUCAAUACUAUAAAAAUUAAGUGUAGAAUUAAAAAUUUUUAUCAUUAAUAAUUUGUUAUAAUUAAUUUUUUUAUAUUAUUAUUUAUAUUUUAUUUAUAUUUUUUAUUAAUAAUAUUUAUUUAAUUUUAAAAUAAAUUUAAUAAUGAUAAAAUUAGUAUAAUUUAUUUUAAAAAUAAUUUAUUUUUAAAAGGUUAAAUUAAGGAAUUCGGCAAAUAUAUUUUUCGCCUGUUUAAUAAAAACAUGUCUUUUUGAUAAUAAUUUAAAGUCUAACCUGCCCAAUGAAAUUUAAAUGGCCGCGGUAUUUUGACCGUGCAAAGGUAGCAUAAUCAUUAGUUUUUUAAUUGAAAGCUUGUAUGAAUGGUUGGACGAGAAAAUUUCUGUCUCAAUUUAAUUUAAUUAGAAUUUUAUUUUUAAGUUAAAAAGCUUAAAUUUAUUUAAAAGACGAGAAGACCCUAUAGAGUUUUAUAUAUAUAUAAAUAUUUUUUAUAUAAUUAAUCAUAUUUAUUUAUAUAUUUUAUUGGGGUGAUAAAUAAAUUUAAUUAACUUUAUUUUUUUUAUUACAUUAAUUUAUGAAUUUAUGAUCCAUUAUUUAUGAUUAUAAGAUUAAAUUACCUUAGGGAUAACAGCGUUAUCUUUUUUAAGAGUUCAAAUCGAAAAAAAGGAUUGCGACCUCGAUGUUGGAUUAAAAUUAAUUUUUGGUGUAGAUGCUAAAAAAUUGAGUCUGUUCGACUUUUAAAAUUUUACAUGAUCUGAGUUUAAACCGGUGUGAGCCAGGUUGGUUUCUAUCUUUAAUAAAAUUAUAUAUUUUAGUACGAAAGGACCAAAUAUAUAUAAAAAUUAUUUAUUUAAUGAAUAUUAUU